CUGACUCAGGAUGAACGCUAGCGGCAGGCUUAACACAUGCAAGCGAGGGGCAUCGGGAGUAGCAAUACUGCCGGCGACCGGCGCAAGGGUGCGUAACGCGUGAGCAACAUGCCCGUAUCAGGGGGAUAAUCCAUGGAAACGUGGUCUAAUACCCCAUAGUAAUUAUGUAAGGCAUCUUAUAUAAUUUAAAGCUUUGGUGGAUACGGAUUGGCUCACGUGACAUUAGCUGGAUGGUAAGGUAACGGCUUACCAUGGCUACGAUGUCUAGGGGUUCUGAGAGGAAGGUCCCCCCACACUGGAACUGAGACACGGUCCAGACUCCUACGGGAGGCAGCAGUGAGGAAUAUUGGACAAUGGAUGGAAAUCUGAUCCAGCCAUGCCGCGUGCAGGAAAGACGGCCCUAUGGGUUGUAAACUGCUUUUGUAUGGGAGCAAUAAGGGCUACGUGUAGUCCGAUGAGAGUACCAUACGAAUAAGCACCGGCUAACUCCGUGCCAGCAGCCGC
rnacentral:rRNA from 1 species